CUGCCCCGCGGCCGGGCCGGCGCCUGUCAGCUGGAAGGUCCCCAGAGCAGCCCCCACCCCCGUGUUAGGGGAUCGGAGCCGGGCGGUUUUCCCCGCGGCGCGUCGGCCCGGGUAACUGCAUGGCUGGGAGGGCCUGGUGCUGGGGAGAGGUGCCGUGUGCCAGGGAGCUGUAGUGCUGUCAGCCCAGCACCACUGCAAACCCUGCAGCAGCAAGAUUUCAGGUUGAGGCUGCCCCUUUAACACAGUGCACUGCAAGAGGUGUAUAUGGUACCUGAAGGUGUCCCGGAACCCCUUGUUGACCGACGGCGAAUCAGCGCAGCCACUGAUGACUCGGAGAUACAGAAACGCCAGAUACAGGACUUCCCUGAAAACAAAACACCAGAGCAUAAGCACAUUCCUUAUUCCUACAUGAGAAGAUUGAAAUAACAAGGUUCUUUGAUGGUCCGUCAUGGUCACAUACAUCUGGAUUGCUUCUCUGGCUACCCAGCAGUGGCUACCUCUGACCUCCAAAUGUAACAAUCCUUCAGACAGCCCCAUUUCCAUCUAGCAGCUGCCAAGAAGACUUACAGCUGCUUCACUGAGAAAACCCAAGCACAUGGAUACAGCAAAGACCAUCCCAUGUUGAAUCAGAUCAUUUCAAACUGGAUCACUCUGCCCGGUGACCCUUGUAUCAGCACUGCUCACCGGAUGCUGAGAUCAAAGCUCGCGCUCAGCACGAACCCUUUCUUCUCAUUGAGGAACACUGCCUUGAUGCUCCCAGCAUGGCCA